AGAAGGAGAAGAAAUUCUCAUUAUACGCCAUGAAAUUUUUAAUUAACACUGUAAAUAUCCUACUAAGAACGGUUUGAGUUCACUGAAAUACCCGCAGUGAGAUAACACAGGUAAGAUGAAAUGAAAAAUUAUUUAAAACCUCUUUUGUUCCGUAGUCACCGAGCUCUUAAGAGAAAAGCAAUGAAAAAGCCACAGACAUAUGCAGGGGAAGGAUCCUGACCCACAGAAGCUUCCAUCUCAUUAAAGAGGAUGACACAGAAACACAGUGGGGAGGGUUCGGGUAACUCAGGCAGAAGUCACGUGUGCACUGAGCUUUCAGAACAGCCCCGAGGAGACGGGCGAGGUUUUAACCGUAGAGACAGGGUAUGCAGUAGGAGUGGAAAGAAGACGACGUAAAAAACUGGGCUCAAAAGGAGGUUCCGUGAAGGCACUUGCUGGCCUGCGGGCCCGGAGAGGAGAGCUGGGGCUGAACUGCACGAGGCCUCCACACCAAGCCACGAAGCCCGGAGGUCACUCAACUAGGAAGGGAAGUAGCAUGCUCUGCUUUUAGGAAGAUCUACGGGAUAAUAAUAAACUGUAUCUAGAGCUGCAAGGUCAAAAAGCAGUCACCCAACAGAGGCCCGUGGAUUUGAAUACACAUCUGUUCCAUAUCUAAACAUCCCCAAACUGGAGAUCAAGGCUGCGAUGGAAGAAAGACACGCCGGCUGGAGAUAAAGUGAGGCACCAUUAAGGUUACCCUGGAGGGCCUGGGAUGCGGACAGAGACCCAGAGAAGGAGCCCCACCAAGAGACCGACAGAGCCCGUUUCUAGCUGAGGUGCGCAGCCGAUGACUGUGUCCACAGCCCGGCUCCCCUCCCAUGAGCUGCGUGGCUUUGGGAAAAUUUCCCCAUUUGUAACCGUAUUUACACCUCACGGAAUUAUUUUGAGAAUAAAAUGAGUUAUCAUGCAUGUAAAUACGCAAUAAAUACAAGCCAUUAUUACAUUAUGAAGAUUCCUUGCAGGAAUGAUCAUGAUUUGCUACAAGCAGUAAAGGGGGCAAGCGCCGGUGACCGCCUACCUGAGGCAGCCCGCUCUGAGACCCGCAUGGAUGCAAGGAGCACCGGAAAUCUUGUGAGAAACGGGAUUCCCGGCUUGUUAGAGGAAUUCUUUACACUAACGAGUGACCUUCAGGAAAAAAUCAAACAAGCAACUGGCUUCCAGGAAGGUGAAACCGUGGGCCUCAUGCACACAUUUGGUGAACGAUGUCAGAGUCUGUGAAGAUUACUAACUGAAGGUUCCCACUGUGGGACACUGUUUGCAAAGACGGCCGGAACAACCCUUCCACCCUUGCAGGCAUAACCCUCUGAAAUCUAACAUUGCCACUCUUUCUAUCAAGAGAUAGUUUAUUCCUCCGGCCUUCAACUUGGACUUGUCCAUGUGACCUGACUACCAAAUGUCCAGCGGGACAUUACAAGAUGACACACAGCAGAGGCUUGAAAAGUACCUGUGCAGGAUGAACCCCUAUUUCAUGGCUGUGGCUGGAAGCCAGGACGUGAAUGGGCCUGAGCCCCACGCAUGGCUGGGUGCCCUGAGCUGCAGAGCCUGGCGCCCGGCUCAGAGCGAAGCCAUCCCCAGCCAGCCAGCCCCAGUCAGGCCACCAGAUGCCUCAAGUCAGACGCAUGAUCCCGGCUGAGAGCGGCAGGAGACAGAGCAAGCUCAAGUCCACCGAAAUUGCUACCCCAGAGAACGGGGCACAAAUAAAUAGUUGUUGUUCUAGGCCACUAAUUUGGGGAGCUGGUUUGUUACAGCAACAAUUACCGGUACCCCAACAUGGCUCAGGACGAAGCAGAAAAGGAGUCAAGCAGGACAAGCUUUAUCAACCUAAAACAAGGAAACAGGGCGAGAAACGGCACUCUCUCUCCUCGCUAGUUUGUAUACAUGUUCCAGACACGGAGCCUCUAAUCUCGAAUGCCUCACUCGGCCUGUCCUCUACCGGGACGCCUGCCCUUGCUGUUUGUGGGUUUCUUCCUUGAAGGGUCUAUGUGCAUUUGUCAAAGAUUUAAAUAUUCCCACACUGUGGCAACAGAGUAGCUCCAAUGUUCCGGCACAGUCCAACUUUCCGGAGACACAGAAGGGUUCCUCGCCGCAGCUGCCCGGCUGCGCGGGGCUUACGAUUCCACGCUGGCCUGGCAGCUCUGCACUCCACAUGCGGGCACUGCGGUACCGGACUGUACCUCCUCUCCGGGGAUCAGGUCAAGAGUACCAACAGUUCAUGUUCACGUCAAUUAACAACUGGGCUUACAAAUGAGAAGACAUUAUUUUUCUAACAAGCCAUGGUAUAUUAUUUAAAGUUGGUAUCUGCUUAUUGCACCGGGCUCUAAAAAGAACUCUGCACUAACUCAUUCAGCAGCCGUUGGCAUUAAGAGGUUGGAGACAGGACAUAGGGUUUCUUAGAGCCCAGUAGUAAGUACUAAGGGCUGGGUGUGUCCAGUUUAUUCUGAAUAUGUCACGGAGAAAAAAAGGAGGAAAAAAAGCAAAGCUUAUAGAUCUUUACAAAAGGGAGCGACAAACAUCAUCCCCUGUGCCCGCCCCUCCCCCCUCCACUCACUCCUUGACUGGUAACGUGUGCGUCACCUGUGUCCAGCUCGGACAGUGCCUGCACCAACUGGGCCCACAAAAGGCCUCCUGCAGCUCAGUUCAUUUCUCAGCAGACCACUUCGAUGGCUGCGCUCAUGUCUCAAUUUCGUCCCUGCGGCCCCAAAGAACCCAGAGAAACUACGACUGGAAUCCAGAUUCUCCCAUUAAGCAGAUUACACCGCAAGGGACUUCUUCGCCGUAAAGGCCCAGACUAUCUCUCAAUUAGGUUCUAUCUACCUUCUCUAACAGAGACAAGCCUGGUUCUCAUUUCCCUAGUAUGUAUGUAUGUAUUUGCUCAACCAACCUCCUAACCUUCUCCUAACUACUCCACUAACCAUCUCUGCCACUUCCCGGCUCACGACGUCCACGUUCCCAGCCCUUGGCGCCCGCAAGGACUCAGGCACACACACACUACCACCACACCACGGGAAAGCCCCCUUUAGUCCUGCUGCCCUGUGGGACUAGCCUCUGCCACCUAGGAAGGAAA